CUUUUGAAUUUUUAGGACAUGUAAACUAGUGAUGCGCGGGUUGCCUCAUAACCCGUAGAUGAGUUUAAGCCACACUUCAGGAUAGUCAGACAGGGCAGACGGGGAAUCUUCAGAAGAAGAUUGAGGGUCUUUACCUCAAUGUGAAACAGAGGAAACACUACCUCUACCGUUUGACAGGCUGCCAUAACCUGUCCGUUCCUGCUCUGAACUGCUCCGGGUGUCUGAGACAUUGGACAAUGGGGCUGUGCGAACCUGUAAAGAGUGGCUACUGGCCAGCCACCGUGACUCACCAGACCAUCUUCACAGUGGACCUCUUCAAGUCCUUUAAAGACAUGAAGGUGUUGGCCCCAGGAUUCUCCCGUCAAGCCUUUGUGGGAAUGCUUCAUGGAAGAACAAAGCACUUUGGCAGGAGUGGAAAGAUAUGUGGUGACACAUUCCAGAAGGCAUUUCUUGAGUGGAUUUACGACACGGAUUGAAAUAGACACGUUUUGUGUAAGCGAUCUCCUCCAUUGUCCUGCCUGGUUUGGAUGGGAAAGCCUCAAGCACCAAGGACAUGUGAAAGAAAAGCCUGACCUCUCCGCUCUCUGGGCCCCAAGUACCUGAGCCCCAGCUGAGGGAAGAAGUGCAACUGCCAACACCAGAGUCCAAACGGAUAUAUUCUAAUAACAAGUAUAUCACAUAAGCAUAUUAUGCAGAUAAGACAUCUUAAUUAUCUAUGUUACCCAACUAAUUAUAAUUCAUCCGCCACAUUCCCCUCUCAAGGGACUCCGCCCAUUCCGGAGAACCAGAACAGUAACAUGGUACCUUACUAACAGUAGUUGCAGAGUAUAUGAAUUAUAAAAAUAAAAAAACACAAUCAAAAUGUAAAGAAAAUAGAGAAUCAAAUCCCUUCGAUAUCAAGUACCUUAUUUCCAGUUUACAACCUUUAUACUACAAGACAGACCUGCACAUGUUUAAUCAUACAGAAUAAUACAUUGUUGAAGACAUUUAAAAAAAAACAACAGAACAAAUAAAUGCUCCCUAAAUUACAGUGUCUAACAGUCCUCAUCACAACAGAUAAGACAGGCAUCCCUUUGAGUCCUCAUGCUCAGAAUUGGGAUUCCCACCAUUAGAGAUG